rnacentral:tRNA from 1 species
GCCCCGGUGGUGUAGUCCGGACUAUCAUCCGGCACUUUCGAUGCCGGGACCCGGGUUCAAAUCCCGGCCGGGGCA